rnacentral:ncRNA from 1 species
CUCCUAGCCGCACGAAACAGAACAGUAACAGGUAUGUGAUGCCCUUAGAUGUCCGGGGCCGCACGCGAGCUACACUGAGGAAGCAGCGUGUUUUUAUCCUUGUCUGUUAAGACAGUAAGCUUAGAAAAAGUGGCUUGAGCAAAUACAGAGG